GACAGAGGAUGCAAGCGUUAUCCGGAAUGAUUGGGCGUAAAGCGUCUGUAGGUGGCUUUUAAGUCCGCCGUCAAAUCCCAGGGCUCAACCCUGGACAGGCGGUGGAAACUACCAAGCUGGAGUACGGUAGGGGCAGAGGGAAUUUCCGGUGGAGCGGUGGAAAUGCGUUAGAGAUGUGGAGGAAUACCGAUGGCGAAGGCAGCCCCUGGGCCAAUACUGACGCUCAUGCACGAA
rnacentral:rRNA from 1 species